UUCUUUCUCUCGGGAACGUACACACCAUUUUUGUUUAUGUGGUUCUCUCUCGGGAACCGUACACACCAUUUUAUGUGGUUCUCUCACACUAAACAUGAUGCAAGUCCAUGGUUUUGUUUCGAGUUUGAUUCUAGAAAAGAGAUUUGUGUGGUGAAAAUGAAGAGAGACAGAGAAGGUUAUAUUGGUAAAAAAAACGAAUCAAUGAUUUAUUAAGAUUUAAGAGUUUGGACUCCAAAAUACAAUUCAAUACUUGUGCAUUGAAUGAGUAAAAAAAAAAAAAAAAACUACUAUGAACAAACAAAGACUCCUUCGCUCCUAUCAUUUGUUCACAAUGUUUUUAUUACCUUGUAUUCUUCACAAUGUAUUACCAGGUAGAAACUACACAUUUGGGUGCAUAGGAGUAUCAAAAUGUUUACAAUCUUUCAUUCAAAAUAACAACUCAGAAUCUCAGAAUAACAAGAGGAAAUAGUAUUGCGAUCCUAGCAUAACAACUCAAAAUCUCAGAUCUGUAAAGUUUGAUAACAUUAAGUAAUUUUAGUGUGACAGAAAAGUUUGAGUUAGAGUAAAAAGUUGGUAGCAUGGUGUAGAGAAUUGAAAAUGGAGAAGCUUUUGUGAAGGGACUAUGGUGAUUAGAGUUAUGGUUUGGUUAAAGUUUAGGUUUUUGUGAAGUUGGAGAAAUGAAAUUUUAUGGUGGUUUGGUUGAGAGGGUGAGGAAGUGAGAGAAAUAAUUGUUGAGACUUGAGAGGGUGAGGGAGUAGUAAUUGCUACCGUGAGAGAGUGAAAUAGCUUCUGUCAACUUUUUAGCUUUUGCGUCUCCCGGUGUGCAUUAUUGGCGGCCCUCAGCCUUCAAUAAUGCAUAUUUUAUUU
rnacentral:lncRNA from 1 species